CAUUGAUGGUGCAGACUCUCUUCCCCUAUCGCAAGAAGAGAAAUGGAAAAAGCGAAGUACUCGAAAGAGAAAAUCGAAGUAUUUCAACUCUCCUCCUCCAACAAAAAAAGCAUCUUGUGGCAAAAUCUGCAACAUCUGCCAGCCAAAAACAUCCAAAGACAAAGAGUCACAUCAAAGGUGCACCACCCUUACAACCACAAACAAGACAGGGAUGCUGUCCAUAUUGGGGAGGAGAAGGGUUAAUUGAGAAGCAAACAGUGUCAAUGACAAAUACAUGUACAGUGGACAACCUACUGUACAUGCUUCACAUGGCUAUCAAGAGGAGACCAGGGAUUAGCACUGAGCUUAAUGCAAGCUCAAAUAAUUGGAUUUCCACCUUACUGCAAGUCCACAAACUUUUUGAAAAGAAAGAGUGGUCCCAGGGAAAAUUAUUGUGGCUAAACGCCAUUGGCCGAUUUAAAGGGACUUCAUGGGAUGCUUAUGGGACAGAGGAAGACAUGGUUGCAUGUCGUCUCGAGUAUCUCAUGACAACAGAAAUCAUGCAAAAGUGCAAGAAUGCAGCUUGUCCUGUUGUGAGAAGACGAGUCAACAGUAUUGACAUCUUGUGUGAAGACUUCAGUACUUUACAGAAAGAUAUUGACAGUUGGAUGAAUGAAUCCCUUGCAGCUCCAUGCAAAAGAGGUCCUGCCCAAUGCACUGACAGUGAGCAGACACUGCAGCGUGUCUUCGUGAAUGGACAGCCAUGUGUGUUACUGGUCUUAGUGAUACACCAAGCCAAUCUCAGUGAAAAGCUGCAUCCUACAGCCUUGCCACACCUGGUGACAAUUCUUGGUGGAAAGUACGAGCCAGCUGCAGUGACAUACCACCUGGGCACAAAUAAUCACUUUGUGGCAUUCCACAAACUGGGCGCUGACAAAGGCUGGCAUUUUUAUGAUGGCAUUGAGGAAAUGCUCAACCCUGGCAAGGGUGAUGUUGUCAUCACUGACACAUUAAGGAAAAAGAUACUUAAGGCUAAGUGUAAAGUUAGCCACAUUGUCAUGGUCAGGGACAAAGCAGCAGAAGCUGUUGAAGCCAGGCGGCAGGACAAUGAACAGCUUGUUACAUUCAUUGUGGACCACAAUGGAGCUGACUGAAAGCUGAGGGUAAAUCUAACAUGUCAUUACUUUCCUAUAUGGAGCAAUUUUACUAAAAACAACUAUGAAAUUACAGAGCAACACCUAACCGGAUCCAUUCAUAAUGUAUCAGCCUGUGAUAAAAAUGUGACAUAUUAAACACCCAUUAACCUAUUACUAACAUCAUGGCGAAUGUGCAAUUAUUUCAGUGAGGAAACAGCUGUAACUGCUUGUGGCUUGUUCGCUUCUGCCAAGAACACCAUUCUCCUCACACAAAACACUUUAUACCAGCACAUUCAAAUACCAUAGUAGUUAGGUCAGUUAGUUUUACAGUAAAGUUUCAUUGCAGAGAUUUAAAGGCACAUAUGUCCACUGUGGAAAGAAAGCCACUAUUUG
rnacentral:lncRNA from 15 species